rnacentral:lncRNA from 1 species
UGGGGGUACUCUGAUGGGGUCAUCAGAGCCUCCUGCAUGGGGAGGCUGUGGCACAUCACAGCUGGAGGCCUCUCUGAGGUACAGAGCACCUCCUGGGCUGCCACAGAAUGGGAAAGUGUCAGUCUCUACAAGUUACUCUCUCCAUCCCAUGAAGGACCCUCCAUUGUUGUUUAUCCAGACCCAGAUUGUGUGGGCGCUGAAGCAACAGACCCGAGAGUUACCUAAGACUUUCGGGGAGGCAGGCUCGGGGCACCCCAUGCAGCCCCAGGAAGGAAGGACAUCCCCUACCCCGGCACCUGCACCCAGGGCACCAGGCUCCCCCGGGGGAGCAUCUGGCUCAGGAAUGUGGACUUUCCCAGGGGUGCAAGGGUUGGUGGGAAGAACUGUCCUUGGUCCGGGGAAUCCUGCAAUGCGCCUGAGGCCUGACAAGCACAGGAAGCUAAGGUCUGUGCUGGAGUUUCCCACCAAAGGCUCUGAGACUGGAUGUGUGUGCAACUGUUCUUCAAGCCCAUUUCUUCCAGAGUCCCUGGAAAUGGCUGGAAAUGGCUCAUUGUCAUGGUGGAAGAGCCUGCUAAUGGAGGAAAUAACCAACCACCACUGCCCCCAUCAUCAGAAACAACAGCUCUAUCACCAUAGCAACUGGUGAGCCUGGGAGGUUAAGGCCCCAGGGAGUCUCAGCAGAGGAGUAGGGGGUGGGUGGCAGCUAGGAUCAGGGUUAGGGUUAGGGUUGGACUGGGCCCAGUUGCUGAGGCCAAACAGCUGGGAAGCGUCCUUCUCCCGGACAGCCAAAUCACAAGUCAGCUCUGUUGUCUGAACCUGCCCCAUGUCCCCAGCUGCACCACCAUCCUGUCUAGCCCGGUCCAUGGUGAUGCUCUCUCACUGCCUUCCUGGUUUCCCCUCACGUGCCAUUCCGUGUAGCCCCACAGACUAGCCACAGUGAUCCUUUGAAAACAGAACUCAGACCAGUUUAACACCAUCCUGUGCCUUCCAACCUACGUAGAACAAAAUCCAUGCCUCUGGUUAUGGUCUACAAGAUCCUGUGUGAUCCCUGUCCUGCUCUUCUCCUGCCGUUUCAGGCCACAGCUCCUUUUCUUGUUCUGCUCCAAGUGCUCAAACCUUUUCGCAUUAUGGAACCAAGACCAACUUUGUUCCCAUGUCAGGACCAGUGUGCUUACUGUUCUCAUGCCUUCUCCAAAGGUUCAUACAGCUGACUUGCCAUUCAGGUCUCAGUUCCAAUGUUACAUACCCUCAUCAAGUCUUUCCCCGACACCUCUCACUAAAGUGCCUCCCAGUAGGCUUCAAGCAGUCAUCACCCUUAAAAUAUUUUGUUUGGGCUUUAUUUGCAUAUUUCCUAGCUUCUCAACUAGAAGCCAAGAUCCAUGAGGUCAUGGAUGGUAUCCUGAUCCCCGUGGUAUCCCCAGUACCUAGUACAAUAUCUGUCACAAAGCCACACUCAGAAACACUGAUGAGGUCAAUUAAUUUGGGUUGAUUUAUACAGUCUCAAAUUUCCUGGUUCUAUUGUUUAAUCAGAAUCUAAAGAUUCUGGUUUCAUUGUUUAACUUUCCACUUACUCAUCUACCAAUCUGUCCAUCAUCCAUUCAUCCAACCAUUAUCCAUCCAUCCAUUCAUGCAUCCAUCCAUUCAUCCAUCCAUCCAUCCAUAUAUCCAUCCAUCCAUUCAUGCAUCCAUCCAUCCAUCCAUCCAUCCAUCCAUAUAUCCAUCCAUCCAUUCAUGCAUCCAUCCAUCCAUCCAUCCAUCCAUCCAUAUAUCCAUCCAUCCAUUCAUGCAUCCAUCCAUCCAUCCAUAUAUCCAUCCAUCCAUUCAUGCAUCCAUCCAUCCAUCCAUCCAUCCAUCCAUAUAUCCAUCCAUCCAUUCAUGCAUCCAUCUAUCCAUCUAUCCAUCCAUCCAUCCAUCCAUUCAUAUAUCCGUCCAUGCACUUAUCCUUCCAUGCAUCUAUCUAACCAUACACAUACACCUUCACACCCAUCCACCAAACCAUCCUUAGCACCUACUCUGUGCUUGGUGCUGAGGACCGAGGUUUAACCAGGACAUGAAAUCUACCCUAGAGAAACUCCCAGCCUUGUCCUCCUGUUCCCUCUGUUCCCCAUACUGUGAGCUGCUCCAGGUAGAAACUACACUAACCUUAUAGAUAGACGCAGGCAAAGUUCUAGGAGUUCAAAGUUCAACCUCUGCCUCCUAGGAGGCUGCUCCAGUUUGUAUAUAGGUCUACGCCUUCUUGGGCUUUAGAUUUAGACCUUCACUGCUUUUUUCUGUGCCCUGGUCACCGUUGGCUGACCCCCGGGGCAGAGCCAACAAAUUUAACCAGAUCCUAGGCUCCUCCAGAUAUAAGGGAUUUGAGGAGAAGACUCUGCUCCAUCUUGAAGAGUCAGCUAAAGCAUUUCAAAAUUCAGAAUGAAUUUCUGAGGGCCUGAUGUGGGGUGUGAUCUUUGUGCUACAAAACAAGAGGAAGGAGAAAGAUAAUGCCUGGAACAGGAAAGAACUUCCUGGGGGAGUUAGGGCUAGAGCUGGACUCAAAGGAAGGGGGCCCUAGGGAGGAGGAGUAAGGGUGAGAAGUAUGAUGCAGAGGCAGGGAUGAGUGUAGUAUGAAUUUGGGCUGUGAGUGGGGAAGCACAAGACUAGUAUCCAGUGAACUCCUACUCAUCCUUCAACACCCAAUCCAAAUGACUCCCACUUGAGAAGCCUUCCCUAAAUUGCCCACUCCCAUCCUCCCGUUCUCCCAUUCUCUUCAGACAGAGAGAAUAAUGAUGGAAAUGGUGAUGUUAAUAAUAAUCAUAACAGUUAGCUAACAGCUUCCAUGCCAGGCACAGUAAUAAAUACCUUGUGUCUAUUAUCUCAUCUAACACCACAGCAGUUCACCAUUGCAUUACCUUAUCCCCACUUUUCAGAUGAGAAACUAAGGCUUAGGGUAAAUGGUGUAGAAGUUUCCUGAACCAUCAUGGGGAUUCAUUUGUCUUCUGUCUCCCUUGUCUUUGCUGUUCAUAUAUACAAACUGGGAGUAUGUAUCUAUGCCCAACAGGCAGGGACGAUUUGAUUAUUUUCUGGGUCUUUGGAGGCUAGUAAAAGAGGUGGCCUAUUGCAAGCCUUGUACAACUAUUGGAUGGAUGGAAGAAUGGAUGGUUGCAUGGAUGAAUGGAUGGAUGGAUGAAUUAGCAGAUUGAUGGGUGAAUGGAAGGAUGGAUGGAUCAAUGGAUAGAUAUACCAAUAGAUGGAUAGGUACAAGGAAGGGUGGAUGGAUGAGUGUAUGGGAAGGUGGAUGGGUGGGUGAGUGGAUGGAUGGAUGAAUUGACAUAUGGGUGGUGGGUGGACAGAUGGAUGGGAGAAUGAGUGGGUGGAUGGGUGGGUAAAUGGGUGGAUGGAUCGUUGGAUGGAUGGACAGGUGGAUGGGUGAGUGGAUGGAUGGAUGGAUGGAUAGACGAAUGAGUGGGUGGAUGGUUGGGUGGAUGGAUGGAUUGACAGGUGGAUAGGUGAGUGGAUGGAUGGAUGGAUGGAUGGAUGGAUGGAUGGAUGGAUGGAUUGACAGAUGGGUGAGUGGAUGGAUAGAUGAAUGGAUGGAUGGAUGGAUGGAUGGAUGGAUGGAUGGAUGGAUGGAUAGAUGGAUGGAUGGAUAGAUGGAUGGAUGGAUGGAUAGAUGGAUGGAUGGAUAGACGAAUGAGUGGGUGGAUGGUUGGGUGGAUGGAUGGAUUGACAGGUGGAUAGGUGAGUGGAUGGAUGGAUGGAUGGAUGGAUGGAUGGAUGGAUGGAUGGAUAGAUGGAUGGAUUGACAGGUAGAUGGGUGAGUGGAUGGAUAGAUGAAUGAAUGGAUGGAUAGAUGGAUGGAUGGAUGGAUGGAUGGAUGAAUGUGUGGGUGGAUGAGUUGGUGGAUGGGUGGGUGGGUGGCAUAUAGAAGCCCUCCCAUCUCUGAAGUUGUUGGUUGUGUGGUGCCUCUGUGGCCCAUAUGAAGACAGCUUCUUGACUGUGCCAGGGCUGAGCAAGGGCCCUGGAGGUCAGGCCCAGCCCCUCCCGUCUUUCCCACACACAUUUCUCUCUCUUUCACGGUCAUUCCCCAAUUUGGCCUCACAUCCCAUCAUCCUGUUUAGGGGCUCAGAUUUCCAGGGAGUGCCCCCCAUACCAAACCUUCAUGGCCCUCCACCCACUUGCACAUGCUGCUGGCUUUGACCUCCCCCCUCCUCAGCUUCCCCAAUCUAGCCCCCGACCCCACCCCCACCCCUCCCCGGAGCCAGCUCCUCUCCCCGCAGCUGUCCACACUUACAAAGCCAGGACUGUUCGAUAAGGCCGUGCCAGCUGGAACAAGACACUUCCCGUCUGACGGGAGGUUCUCCAUGGAGCCUGCGGGCAGCUGUCAGCCCGGGGGGCACAGGACCGGAUCCGGAGGCUGCUCAGGGCCAGUGCCUCCCUGGACCCCCUCAGGAGAGGCUCUGCUGGGCCUGGCCCAGGGUCCCAGAAAGGACUCCUCAGACUGGGGGACCUGGAGUGGUGGCUUUAGCCUCCUGAACCCUCUGGGGCCCUCACACUCCCGUCCCUUUGGGAUGCACAGGGGACAGCCUCCACACUGGAGGUCUGGUGUCAGCUGACCCCUGGUGUCGGCCCCAGGGGUCAGCCGACAGUGACCAGGGCACAGAAGGAAGAGAUGAAGGUCCCAACCUAAGACAGGCCGCCCAGCAUGGUCACCUGCAAGCCAUGGCAGACCGCCAGGGAGGCCAGAGCAGAGGUGUUGGCCAAGAGCAGCCCCAGGAAGAGGCGGCUGUGUCUCUUCUAGAAAAAUCAUCUGCUAAACGUCUUCAGGGCAGCUGAGAAAGUCACUCCCCCAGCCCCUUCUGCUUGCUCAUUGCCCACUAGGCAAUCAUUCCACAACUAUUUCUUGAGCACCUAGUGCAUGCCAGGCAUGGGGACAUAGACCCAGGUCCCUGCCCUCACAGAGGCUGCAUUCCCACAGCCAGCCUCCACCUUCGGCUCCCCCAGGCCCAGCCUGCCCGGAGCUGUGCACCAGGCCUGGACCCAGCCUGGCAGAGCCCUCUGCCUUCUCUGGCUCUAACUCCUUCUAUAAAGCUCUAAUUACAUCCUGGGAGAAACAAUCAGAAUGAAACUAUGGGGUUUUUUUUCCUCCCCCCUGCCUCCCCCCAGGCUGGGCCUGUUUAAUAACUUAAUUAAAUAAAC